GGGGCCUUGGAACUGGCCAGCUUACUAGGGCAGAGAAGAAGCUGGGAGGUUACCCCUGGGCUCAGGGCGGAUUCCAGCAAUACUGGACGGGACAUUAGUUUUAUAGCCCUGUGACGAAUCUAGGGACAGAGUACCUGGAGCUGUUUUCUCAGACAUGCACUGGCCCAGGGCCUGCCCCUGGUUUAGCCUUGAACAGAGGAGCCAACAGAGGGGGAAGCACCCACUUCCUGCCCAGAGAGGGGCACGUUUCUGUGGGGCGAUUCUGCACUGUCCUUUUCUGCCUUGUCACAGCAUGUGGGAUCUAGUUCCCUGACCAGGGAGCAUGGAGUCUUAGCUGCUGGACCACCAGGGAGGUCCCUGCUCUCUGUGACCUUGACUGACGUUACUUGGCACCUUCCAACUUGGUGAAUCAACUUGAUGGUGAUCGCAGCCAUGAAAUUAAAAUACACUUACUCCUUGGAAGGAAAGUUAUGACCAACCCAGACAGCAUAUUAAAAGGCAGAGACAUCAGUUUGUCAACAAAGGUCCAUCUAGUCAAGGCUAUAGUUUUUCAAGUGGUCAUAUAUGGAUGUGAGAGUUGGACUGUGAAGAAAGCUGAGGGCUGAAGAAUUGAUGCUUUUGAACUGUGGUGUUGGAUAAGACUCUUGAGAGUCCCUUGGACUGCAAGGAGAUCCAACCAGUCCAUCCUAAAGGAGAUCAGUCCUGGGUAUUCAUUGGAAGGACUGGUGUUGAAGCUGAAACUCCAAUCCUUUGGCCACCUGAUGUGAAGAGCUGACUCAUUUGAAAAGACCCUGAUGCUGGGAAAGAUUGAGGGCAAGAGGAGAAGGGGAUGACAGAGGAUGAGAUGGUUGGAUGGCAUCAUCGACUCGAUGGACAUGGGUUUGGGUAGACUCUGGAAGUUGGUGAUGGACAGGGAGGCCUGGAGUGCUGUGGUUCAUGGGGUCACAAAGAGUCGGACACAACUGAGCGACCGAACUGAACUGAGGCUUAGGGCCACUAACAAUGCAACUUGCAGGCCCUGCCUCCAUCCUUGUCUCUUAAGAGGUUUGAGACAUAUUGUAAAUACCUUGAGCCACUGGUAGCUAAAGAGAAUGAAACUCUGGAACCACCACUUGGUUGCUGGCUAUUGCCCAUCACAAUCAGAUUUCUCUCAAAACAGGGAUUCACUUGAGUCUUAUUUAAAGCCAGUGGGCAUUCUGUUUGUCACUGCCAUCACAUUUAAUGGAGCUAGAGAGAUGUUUGUAAUGCAGCGACUCUGGUCAUUUUGAGUAUAAUGCAGUUUUUGAGGAUUGGAUUAAAGCUAGUCUCUCUCCAGGAAAGUUCACAAAAUGCAUGGAUAUUCGGAAUGCUCCCUACAGCUUCCUGCUCUUCCCUGAUUAUUAAAGCACAUCCUGUGACCUCAGGUUAAGAAUCAUUAAUAAAGUAUUAUAAUUGUAUUUGUUAAUUGGUCCUCAAUAGAUUUGGGGAAAAUAAUUUUAAUGACAUAGGUAAAUGCU
ensembl:lncRNA